AGUACCCUGUGGAGCUGGCGGGGCUAUUGAGUGCGAGGACCGUAGACUAGCCUAUAGUAGGCGGCUGUUAGAGGAUUUGGACGAAGGGGUGUGUGACAGCGACAAGUCACAGACGGCGGAAGAGUUAAGUGCGGCCGCCAAGGGCGGUUUAAGCUGGCGCAGAGUCCUCGGAGGUAGAAGGGCACUCGGGGUUGCUUUUUUCGCCUGGAUUGCACUUUGCAGUCCCCUGGAGGAGACCGGAAACCAGAGGACUGAAGGGAGUGAGUGUGUGAAACCCCGGAGGAAACACCUCUGGAUUCCGUCCUUACAUCUCCAGGCCCUAGAAGGGACCCCAUCAAGUCUGGUCGCCCCCAGGUCAGCCCCCCCGGCAGAAAAAUCUAAAUUUGGACAGUAACUGCGCUGCACCCCACCCCUAGUCUUCCAGGAAGUUCCAGGGCCCCGCCCCACACCCUGGGGGACUCUAAAUAAAAAAGGGGGGUUCCGUGAGGGCGGGGCAGGGUUGAAAGACCUGCGAUGGAGCCGCCUAUGUGGCCUGGGAAGAACCCCUGCUUCCUCAUCCGCCACUGGGCCUGAGGAAGACGCCAGACGGGCCUGGCAAGCGCCCAGAGAGUGACCUCAGACCACUGAUCAGGAAGUGAAGCCUGAAGGAGGUGCGCAGAAACCCAGUGUGCGACUAAAUUAAUGAUUCUGAUACCAGACCCUUGUACAGAAAGGGAAAAGAGCCAUUGGCUUCUCCAGCUGCAGGUGCAAAGUUACAGAGGCGUCGGGGACCUGAAAACCCAAUGCUUUUUAUGAAUGAGGAUCCCGAGGUCCAGUCAUACCAUCUGACAUUGUAUUACGCUGGGUCAGGCUCUGUUGUGAGUGUAUUUACUCUGUUAAUCCUCACAACAAUCCUAUGAGGGCCCAUAGCGGUAGUCCAGUGGGCGUGUUCAACCCCUCCAUGGAGAAACAGCAGUGAGGAUGGAACAGGGGAGAGUGUGAUGCAUCCAGGUACUCACUGAUGCUUGAGCGUGACUUCAUUCAGAAAUCUGCCUGCCGUGGGAUUCACUGAGUGCUGCUGGCCUCUGUGCACGGAAGGAGCCAGGCCCUGGGGAAGCUGCAGGAUCCAGAAGCACUCAGCUUGCUACCAAAGUGCCUGAGGUUUCUGUAGGUCAGAAGUCCAGCAUGAUGUGACUGGGCUCUCUGCUCAGGGUGUAACAAGGCUGCAAUCAAGAUGCUGGCCAUGCUAAAUUCUUGUCUGGAGGCUCUGGAGAAAAAUGUUUCCAAGCUCAUUCUUGUUGGCAAAAUUGAGUUCCUUGCAGUUGUGAGACCGAGGAUCCCACUUUCUUGUGGGCAAUCAACUGAGGCUGCUCUCAUCUCCUAGAGGCCACCCUAUCCUUUGCCAUGUGGCCCUCCAGGUCUUCGAGCCAGCAACUGUGUCAAAUGCUUCUAGUGCUUUGGAUUUUGGACAGUUACAUCUUCGAAAUCCCUUCACAACAGUAACUGGAUUCAUGUUUAAUGAAGUAAGUAGGAGAAGGUAUGUGUAUACCAGGGACUGAGAAUCUUGGGGGUCAUCUUAGAAUUCCACCUACCACAAGGAAGGAACACUUCCCAACAUAUUCUAUGAGUUCAGCAUUACUCUGAUCCUGAUAUCUAAACCAAACAAAGAAAUCCCAGCAAGUUAUUUCAUGGAUAUCAACAAACUGAUUGUAAAAUGUAUAAUGGAGAGGCAAAAGACCCACAGUAGCCAACACACUAUUGAAGGAGAACAGAGUAGGAGGACUGAUACAACCCAACUUCAAAACUUACUGUAAAACUACAGUAUUUAAGACAGUGUGGUAUUGCCAAAAGAAUAGACAGAGAUCAACAGCACAGAAGAGAGAGCUCAGAAAUACACCCACAUAAAUAUAGACAACUGAUUUUUUUAGAGGGGGGAGGGGCAGAAGGAGAGGGAGAGAGAGAGAAUCAUAAGUAGGCUCAAUGCCCAGUGUGGCUCGAGGCUCAAGGCUUGAUCCCACAACCUUGACAGCAUGACCUGAGCUAAAGUCAAGAGUUGGACACUUAACUGACUGAGCCACCCAGGCGCCUCAAGUCAACUGAUCUUUGACAAAGGAGCAAAUGUAA